rnacentral:rRNA from 1 species
GACGAACCGUGCGAACGUUGUUCGGAAUCACUGGGCUUAAAGGGCGCGUAGGCGGGCGCACAAGUCAGGGGUGAAAGCCCACGGCUCAACCGUGGAAGGGCCUUUGAUACUGUGUGUCUGGAGGGAGGUAGGGGCGUGCGGAACUUCCGGUGGAGCGGUGAAAUGCGUAGAUAUCGGAAGGAACACCGGUGGCGAAAGCGGCGCGCUGGACCUCUUCUGACGCUGAGGCGCGAAAGCGUGGGGAGCAAACAGG